GGUUCGCGCAUGCGCAACACACAAUACAGCCUCGUGCUGUCAAGUGUACUGACAUGAUAUGAUCGAAAGCAGAGGAUCUGGAUCGAAAGUUGGACCAUAUAGAUCUUUCAUUAAUCUAUAGUUGGACUUGCAGCAGAAUCUCUGCAGACCUGACCCAGCAUUCUGCACUGCACUACUGCUGCUACUACAUGUACUAGAUCUACUCCUUUCAUUCUGUGAUCUCAGAGUACUUCAUUUGGAAGAGUACGCAAAGCAAACUCCAAUCAGAUAAAAGAAGGAAAGGAAUACACCCAGAUGAUCGCACUGUACACAAAAAGCAUUCUGUCUGACCUACGUCACAGAUACUCACGUGUAAUCCAGGGGCAUACAAAUAGCACUGGGAAUACUGCAGAACUUACAUGCAAGGCUGGAAGAAGAUAAGAAAGUUGGUAGUAGCAAGUCAACCGGAUCUCUGGAAAGCUACAUUAUGAUCUGAUUGUACUAUUACUUUUGUUGAACACUUCAUUAUAAAUUAUACACUAUCGUAUACAAUGUCCUGUAUCAUUAAAACAUAAUGUCAAAUGAAGAAUAACAAAUUCAUGUACAUGUACAGUGCUAAAAAUAUAAAUAUAAAUGUUCAAACUGAAUGUCAGUAAUUAUUCUAACUAGAUCUAGCUCGCCUUGACCUUGCUUCUUAGGGAUUCUGUAGCUGUCUGUGAAGGAUGAGGAUUCUUUGUUUAGUAGAACAGUUCACCAGCUUGAUUUCUUGGAACACUAGCCAGCUAGCUACGGAGCGAAUCAUGCAGCUACACGUGCGAACGUUAUUUCAGAAUUAAAACGGGUAUUUCCGUACCGUAUUAAAAUUUUAAUGAGCUGGCUUCCGUUUUCAUUCCGUUUCUACGCGAACUGUUGCACGCAAAUUGAACGGUACGGAACGGGAACUUUUAUAUGAGGGCUACUGUAUAUUAUAAUUCCUGGUCCAUACUUAAAUAGUCAACAAAUGCUAAUUCUUCAAUAAUGUUUUAGCGACAGUUGUCGAGCUAUUUAAUUUCUUAGAUUUUACAGUGUAAAUACUGUGUAACUGGCUGCCACACAUCCUCAAUAUUGGUGCUAAUAAGUUUGGUGUUGGUGUCAAUUGUUUUUGAGUUAUUGGAUGACUGCUUUUCGCUGAUUCCAUUUCGCUCAGUAGUCUUGACUGCUGUUUUUUUUUUUUAUACACUACCUUAGCUAUGUCAUGCAACAUGUGACUGUCAUGAAACUUGAAAUGGAACAAGUGACAUGAUGUUCAACCACGCACAUCCCACAUGGGAGGUAAUCACAGCCCCCUGUUCCUCAUCUGUGAUACGAACACUCUGGCGUUCUACUGUAGUCUACAGUAGUGUAGAUGCCACAUUGCGCAGAAAGUCAUGCCAACCAACUUAGAGAUAGAGAUAGUCCUUGCAGUUAUUGUAGAGCUCUGAGUACUUUGUACAAAGACAGUGUGGUCCAGUUUAUCUAUGCCAUUGUGUGUGACAUCCCAAAAUAAUUUCCUUUUGGGAUAAAGCUCGAAUUAACUGGGGUAUUUCCUGGAUUACUUAAAUAAUUAUUAUACAUCAAUUAAACAACAUUUCGAUCUUACACUUUGUGAUGGGCAAAAAAAACUGGCAAAGAAUGUGUGGAUUUGGUUCGUUGUCUCCUUUUCGGACCCGAGAGCCCAAUUUUCACCUAAAAUGAUUUCUAAUAUACAACAACUUUUCCCCAAAAGUUUUGAAUAAUGUUGUAGCUUAUUCCAGUUGAUGCAGUGACCACAGCGUGGGAUGGUUUUUGCCAGGCCCGUGAAGGCUUCAUUAUACAGUGUGGAGUUGGUUCUAGACCAGUUGAGGUCUCUCCUAGCCAGGGCCUCUCGUCGGUACUGUCUGUCGUACGCGACCCAGGACCCUGCUUGGAAGUUCCGUUUAGCCCUGAUGAUUGUUGCCAUGUAGGCAAAGAGUUAAGGAGCUUUGUCUGGGAACCGUGGUGCGAGCCAUAAGGGAGUAUCUUUCCGUUCAUUGGGAAAUGUGGGGACAUGCUGAUGACAUGUGUUGCUCCCCGGGACCGGCUCACAGUUGCCGUCCCUUGUGAUUUCGGCUAUGUCGACAAAUUCUAAAUUCAGAAUUUUCUUGACCACCCUGGCCGGGUUAAACGGCCUCAGUAGUGUGGAGGGGCGCUCACCUGCCUCAUGAACCGCGACUGAGGCCAGGAGGUGGAGGCCUGCCGGAUCGUGGGUGGGUACAGGUGGUAUGAGAAGGAGGCUAUGGAUGGGACCUGUGGGGAGGUAAGCAUUUGUUUGGCUACCCGUAUUGCAGCUGGGUCCUCGGCAGACGUGGUGGUGGUGGUGCCGGCGGCAUAACCAAAGGUGGUGCAAAGGCCAUUGAGCUGAUAGAUGUUGAUAGUGUGAUGAUAGUAUGAUGAACUCCCGUGUCAAAUUUCUCCAAAUCUCUCCAAUCCGCCAAGCCGUUAGACUGAAGAAUCACGUGCUGCAGCGGCGCAUAGACCCCUUUCGCCCGCGCAAUGACUUGUUUAUAUGAUAAGGAGCCGGGUUCAAUACCCAGUAGUUGCUGGACCUGCCUUUAUAGGUAGCCGGGUACCAACUAUCUGCACAUAUGUGGUCGCUGGGCCAAGUAGCUGGGUACUGUUGCUGCUGGGGGGUGGUCGCUGGGCUAAUCUGAACAGGUCGCCGGGUACUAUUGAGUACUAUCUUAUGUUUGGUCGCUGGGCUGACCUGAACAGUUCAUGACAACGUUCUUACAACACACAUCGACCAAAAAAGCUUUCCACAAUAUUUUUAUUUUCUACAUAUUCCUUAUUUUUCUAAUUCAGUUUCCAAACUCUCCGUGCAUCAGUAGGCUUUGCGACAUCUUGGCUUUAAAAUCUACAUGUUUUCGAAACAGGUCGGAAGCACAAGUGUCAUUGCACACGCGCAGAGGGGGUCGGGAAAAGUGCGUUGUCGUUAAAGGAAAGGCUAGGCUCUACAUCAAACCCCAGGCACAGAUGUCUGUUGCAGAGGAGAUAUCCAGUGUUUUGUUGAGGACUGUGAUCUUGAGGUUGCUCGAUAUAGAUGCCCCAGUGAAAAAUUCCAGGACAUCAUUCAGCGUGGUUGCUCCAUUAUCACCUUCAAAAGGAUGUGGCUAUUCUGAAACAACAGUUUUGCUGGAUAAAAAUAGACGAGAAUCGGCACAUAAACAACUGCCCACACCAAUGAAAACACCGCCCGCAGGUGAUGAUGCCUUGGUUAUCUACAACGUGACACGAAGCUACCAAUACAUUAUAUAUUUGCAUGCCGAAUGCAAGUGAGUCGACCAUGAUUGCUAUUAAAAGCGCUAUAAUAAUGUAUAAGAAUUAUUAUGGCAUUAAUGUUUGAUCAUAAACUGAUCGAUGAUGCCAGAUUGAUUGUGUAUUAAACCACAACAAAUCCCAUCCUUUUCUACAUUUUACCCAAAUUUUUAUGUUUUCUAAUUCAGAGUUAGUAGUUUCCAAACUCUCCGUGCAUCAGUAGGCUUUGUGACAUCUUGGCUUUAAAAUCUACAUGCUAUCGAAGCAGGUCGGAAGCACAAGCUCUACGUCAAACCCCAGAGGAGGGAUGGAAGAUAUAAAACCACAUAAUUUUCACACACUGUAUAUAUGUGAAAGCUAUACUUUGGUUUCUACACACAUUUUGUGUGAUAAUCAACAGUGUAUGAAAACAGGAGUACAUGAAUGUAAAUUAAACCAAUGAUCAGUGGCUCAAAGUGGCCAACGCGAAAUAGGCAAAACAGCACUGUCAGUGCGCUUUCAUUAGUGGGAUCAAAGUGGCCAAUGCGAAAUAGGCAAAACAGCACUGUCAGUGCGCUUUCAUUAGUGGGAUCAAAGUGGCCAACACAAAAUAGCUGAAACAGCAACUAUCAGUACUAUCAUUAGUGGGAUCAAAGUGGCCAGGCCUGCUGCAGGAAGUUUGGAUCAUGCGCAUAAUUAUGCAUGCUGAUAAUUAAUCUUUAAGACUUUAUGCUUCGGUGCGCAUGCGCAAGUGAGGUAUACGAUUGGUUGUGUGUGUGUGUGUGUGUGUGUGUGGGGGGGGGGUGGGUGUGUGUGUGUGGGUGUGUGGGUAUACAAAAAGUAUCAUUUGUGUGGGAGAAAUUGUGUCAACUGUUCGCGUUACUAGCUCAAACGGAAUGCUCACUUAGCCUUAAUAAAUAUGGUCGGCAUCUGAUGGUAUUUUGAGUGUAACAUGUACAGGUAACAGUUUCAGUGAGGUAACAUAUAGAUUAUAAGUGCUCGUGAUCAAUAUGAAUUAUUGGUAAGAUGAAGAAUGAUGGUGAUUAUAGUGAUUAUAGUAUAAUUAUAAAGGGUGAUCUAACUAGUCAUGAGGGCACGUUUGGUUGAUCUGACCUUGAGAAUCAGAUAUGAUGGGUUAAAGAUCUUUGAUGGCGCCAACUCUCCCCAUAUCAACCAAUGUGUCACAAAAAACAAAAGGAAAAUGUUCACACAUGACGCUGUAUUUACUUAGUGAAAGUCAAACUAGUACUGUAUAUUAUGUUAAUAAUUAUGGUAGGGGAUAAUGGUAAAAGUGUGUGGGUUGACACCUGUAUCCGGGUCUCAACCGCAUGCAUGUCAUAAGUCGAUCAUUAUCUUAAAAGUUUUGGCAUCCAUUUGGAUCAUAUUUGUAUACCAUACAAGUCAUGUUUUAGUAAAUUGGGGUCUAGAUUGCAGAUUAUAAUAAAGUACAGUAACUUACUUUAUUUUUCUUCUGGGAUAUCAGGAACUUUUUACCAUGUGUUUUCUAGCUGAUGUUCAUGUGAGCUAUGACUGAGUAUGCAUGGGCAGGAUUUGAUUGGUUGUUGCUCUUUGUAUUUGAUUGUGGUUGAGAUGGUGUGGCCUAAAUUGAGUAAUACUAGGCUGGUGGGAUGUGAUGAACAUAGGCUAUGUGCUACACCUUAAAAUAUGGCAGUUGGCUCGUUCUACCCUUUCCAAAUGAUUAAUGAUAUAUCCCUUUUUAUCCUAUUAUUAUAUUUGGGUAGCUUCAAUAAUUAUUGUGAGUUAUUCACUUGGGGCCAUGUUGAAUAAUUAUUGUAAGCUAUGUUUACAUUUGAAGUCAUGUUGACAUGAAAUAUAGGACUUAUGCUGUAAUACAAGUCAUUCUAGUUCUGACCUUGAAAGAGGCUUAAACUAUAACAUUAAGGCUGUGUUGUUUGGGCCAGGCUUUGUGGUUAUAUUGUAGCUGAUACGUGGUUCUUCUACGUGGCAAGCACAAGACAAUCAUUACCUCUAAUUUUGGUUCUUAGCAUUAGCUUCAGGCAUUAGUCAAAAUAAAUAGAUAGUAGUGUGUGUGUGUGUGUGUGUGUGUGUGUGUGUGUGUGUGUGCGUGUGCGUGUGCGUGUGUGUGUGUGGACUGCAUGCUACAGCUGCUCAAGGAUCAAUGAAGUGGUAGUUAACUCUGCACUAGACCUCUAGCUAUUGGUAGCUGCAAGAGUGAGAAGAGAGCUGUAAGGCUAGGCGGGCUCUGGUGACUUGCAGCCAGACUUGAACUUUUGGCAUCAAUCGUUUUUAACAAGAAUCAUGGUCGAUCAUUACCAACUAUGAGUUUUCAAGCAAAAUAAUCGUGACUUUUUCCCUCGACACUAAAGUAUUUGUAAUAAGAUUAUCAUUGAUAACUGCAC